UACGUAGGUGGCAAGCGUUGUCCGGAUUUACUGGGCGUAAAGCGUGCGUAGGCGGUUCAGUAUGUCGGUCGUGAAAUCCCCGGGCUUAACCUGGGAACUGCAUCCAAAACUGGCAAGCUAGAGUACGGUAGAGGGUGGUGGAAUUUCCUGUGUAGCGGUGAAAUGCGUAGAUAUAGGAAGGAACACCAGUGGCGAAGGCGACCACCUGGACUGAUACUGACACUGAGGUGCGAAAGCGUGGGGAGCAAACAGG
rnacentral:misc_RNA from 1 species